UUGACCUUAUCACAGCUGGUAGAGCGGGAGACUACGGUGAAAAUCCAGGUAUUUCUAGGUCGCUGGUUCGAAUGGUAUUCGGCAGGUUGGA